AGGAUAUUAGUUAAUAAAUAACACUUAAAUUGCAUUUAAAAAUUAUAUAUAUAUAUAUAUAUCUUA
rnacentral:tRNA from 1 species